CAACCUCAACUCAUAUGGGACUACCCCCUGAAUUUAAGCAUAUUAAUUAGGGGAGGAAAAGAAACUAACAAGGAUUUUCUUAGUAGCGGCGAGCGAAAAGAAAUCAGUUCAGCACUAAGUCACUUUGUCUAUAUGGCAAAUGUGAGAUGCAGUGUACGGAACAUCAACAUUCUAGUAUGAGAAGUUAACGAUUUAAGUCCUUCUUAAAUGAGGCCAUUUACCCAUAGAGGGUGCCAGGCCCGUAUAACGUUAAUGAUUACUAGAUGGUGUUUCCAAAGAGUCGUGUUGCUUGAUAGUGCAGCACUAAGUGGGUGGUAAACUCCAUCUAAAACUAAAUAUAACCAUGAGACCGAUAGUAAACAAGUACCGUGAGGGAAAGUUGAAAAGAACUCUGAAUAGAGAGUUAAAUAGUACGUGAAACUGCUUAGAGGUUAAGCCCGAUGAACCUGAAUAUCCGUUAUGGAAAAUUCAUCAUUAGAAUUGUAAUAUUUUAAACAAUAUUAUAAUAAUAGUGUGCAUUUUUUCCAUAUAAGGACAUUGUAAUCUAUUAGCAUAAAUAUUUAUCAUAAAAUUAUGUCUGAUUGCUUAUUUGAAUUAUAUGCUUGGCAUUUUAACAUAAAAUAAAAGAUAUAAAUUUGAUAAAGUGCUGAUAGAUUUAUAUGAUUACAGUGCGUUAAUUUUUUCGGAAUUAUAUAAUGGCAUAAUUAUCAUUGAUAUUUGUGUUUAUUAUAUGCAUUUGUAUGAUUAACAAUGCGAAAGAUUCAGGAUACCU
rnacentral:ncRNA from 1 species